rnacentral:lncRNA from 1 species
AGUGUUGCAAGUGGGCAAGUUCUCUGUUUUAACAAGUGAAAAAGCACAAUCUGGGUCUGUGAAUCUCUUCAGUAGAGUGACAGGCACUCCUUCUCUAGGACUCCAUCAUCCCUGCCCAGAGAACUGGGUUUGGUUCAGGUGCAGCUGUUACUACUUCUCCAAGGAAAAGCUAGUUUGGAGAGAGAGUCAGCGUGCCUGCUUGUCCUUCAAUUCUAGUCUCAUAAGGAUGAACAAAGAGGAGAUGGAUUUCUUCUCUUUGAAGUCUUUCUUUUGGGUUGGAGUUUACUACGAUGAAACCAGCAAACAGUGGCUGUGGGACGACCAUUCAGUUCUACCCAGUGGGAUGUUUUCUGGUCUUGAAUCUAGUCCGAAAAACUUCUGUGCAUCUUAUAAAUCAAAAGAAGCCUAUUUGGCAGAAAACUGUUCAACCAAACUAAUGUACAUUUGCAAGAAGUAGCAUAUAUAAUCCUAUAAGUUCAUAAAAGAUAUGAAAAUUAAAGUCUUAAUUUUUGUCUGGAGUGCUUACUUUAGGAAGGAAAUGUGGCAAAUGGUUACUUUUGCUUAAAUAAAAUUGUAUUCAAAUAU